rnacentral:misc_RNA from 1 species
GAUGAAGAACGCAGCGAAAUGCGAUACGUAAUGUGAAUUGCAGAAUUCAGUGAAUCAUCGAGUCUUUGAACGCACAUUGCGCCCCCUGGUAUUCCGGGGGGCAUGCCUGUCCGAGCGUCAUUGCUGCCCUCAAGCACGGCUUGUGUGUUGGGCCUCCGCCCCCCGGCUCCCGGGGGGCAGGCCCGAAAGGCAGCGGCGGCACCGCGUCCGGUCCUCGAGCGUAUGGGGCUUCGUCACCCGCUCCGUAGGCCCGGCCGGCGCCCGCCGGCGACCCCCCUCAAUCUUUCCAGGUUGACCUCGGAUCAGGUAGGGAUACCCGCUGAACUUAAGCAUAUCAAUAAGCGGAGGA